AUUGAACGCUGGCGGCAUGCCUUACACACGCAAGUCGAACGGUAACAGGUCUUCGGAUGCUGACGAGUGGCGAACGGGUGAGUAAUACAUCGGAACGUGCCUAGUAGUGGGGGAUAACUACUCGAAAGAGUGGCUAAUACCGCAUGAGAUCUACGGAUGAAAGCAGGGGAUCGCAAGACCUUGUGCUACUAGAGCGGCCGAUGGCAGAUUAGGUAGUUGGUGGGAUAAAAGCUUACCAAGCCGACGAUCUGUAGCUGGUCUGAGAGGACGAUAGGCCACACUGGGACUGAGACACGGCCCAGACUCCUACGGGAGGCAGCAGUGGGGAAUUUUGGACAAUGGGCGAAAGCCUGAUCCAGCAAUGCCGCGUGCAGGAUGAAGGCCUUCGGGUUGUAAACUGCUUUUGUACGGAACGAAAAGCCCCGGGUUAAUACCCUGGGGUCAUGACGGUACCGUAAGAAUAAGCACCGGCUAACUACGUGCCAGCCGCCGCAGUAA
rnacentral:rRNA from 1 species